CAACCUCAACUCAUGUGAGACUACUCCCUGAAUUUAAGCAUAUUAAUGAGGGAAGGAAAAGAAACUAACAAGGAUUUCCUUAGUAGCGGCGAGCGAAAAGGAAUCAUGUUCAGCACUAAGGGAUUUUGUUUUUAACAAAUAUCCGAUGCAGUGUAAGGAAUGUCUAUUAUCUAGUAUGACAAAUUAACCGUUUAAGUCCUUCUUAAACGAGGCCAUUUACCCAUAGAGGGUGCUAGGCCCGUAUAGCGUUAAUGAUUACUAGAAGAUAUUUCCAUAGAGUCGUGUUGCUUGAUAGUGCAGCACUAAGUGGGUGGUAAACUCCAUCUAAAACUAAAUAUAACCAUGAGACCGAUAGUAAACAAGUACCGUGAGGGAAAGUUGAAAAGAACUCUGAAUAGAGAGUUAAACAGUACGUGAAACUGCUUAGAGGUUAAGCCCGAUGAACCUGAAUAUCCGUUAUGGAAAAUUCAUCAUUAAAAUUGUAAUAUUUAAAUAAUAUUAUGAGAAUAGUGUGCAUUUUUUCCAUAUAAGGACAUUGUAAUCUAUUAGC
rnacentral:ncRNA from 1 species